rnacentral:rRNA from 1 species
UACGUAGGGGGCGAGCGUUAUCCGGAUUCACUGGGUGUAAAGGGAGCGUAGACGGCCAUGCAAGCCAGGGGUGAAAGCCCGGGGCCCAACCCCGGGACUGCCCUUGGAACUGCAUGGCUGGAGUGCGGGAGGGGCAGGCGGAAUGCGUGGUGUAGCGGUGAAAUGCAUAGAUAUCACGCAGAACCCCGAUUGCGAAGGCAGCGUACCGGCAUCCAACUGACGCUGAGGCACGAAAGCGUGGGGAUCAAACAGG